rnacentral:rRNA from 1 species
AUUGAACGCUGGCGGCAUGCUUUACACAUGCAAGUCGAACGGCAGCGCGGGCUUCGGCCUGGCGGCGAGUGGCGAACGGGUGAGUAAUACAUCGGAACGUGCCCAGUAGUGGGGGAUAGCUCGGCGAAAGCCGGAUUAAUACCGCAUACGACCUGAGGGUGAAAGCGGGGGAUCUUCGGACCUCGCGCUAUUGGAGCGUCCGAUGGCAGAUUAGCUAGUUGGUGGGGUAAAGGCCCACCAAGGCGACGAUCUGUAGCUGGUCUGAGAGGACGACCAGCCACACUGGGACUGAGACACGGCCCAGACUCCUACGGGAGGCAGCAGUGGGGAAUUUUGGACAAUGGGCGAAAGCCUGAUCCAGCAAUGCCGCGUGUGUGAUGAAGGCCUUCGGGUUGUAAAGCACUUUUGGCGGGAACGAAAAGGACUGUGCCAAUACCACGGUUCGAUGACGGUACCCGCAGAAUAAGCACCGGCUAACUACGUG